rnacentral:lncRNA from 1 species
CAAGUGAUUGGUCACUGAUGCCUUAACUAGUUCUCUUGGUGAGGUCAUGCUUUCCUGGAUGGUCUUGAUGUUUGUGGAUGUUCAUCAAUGUCAGGGCAUUGAGAAGUUAGAGUGUGAUUUUGAAGAAAGGAGGAAAGAUGUGAAAAGUGAUUAGUCAGCCACAUUCAUGGUGUUGAGAAAAGAAUUUGCUUUUCUGGAACAUAGCCUGUGAUAGCAGAACAACGUCUGGCAAGAAACAGGUUAUAUUUGGCUGGAGAGUCAUUGGCACUAUCAAGAAAUAUUAAAGUGUAGAUUUGAGAGAGGAGGAGAAAGACCCAAGCAAAAUUGAAAACCAGGUGAGACCCAGACAGCAGCAAAGCAAUGGAAGCAUGUAUUUUGGUCAAUAUAGAGUUAAUACACAAUUUUGCCCCUCUUCUUCUGAUCAUGGGACUCAUAUUACCAGUCUUCACAUUUCCUUUAAAUUCAGGAAUCAGGAAGAAUUUCCAGAGUGUGCAGAUGAACACAUUUGCUGCUUCCAUUCUAAACAUAAGUUAUAAGAACUUUUCAACUGGAUUCCAACUUUAAUAUGUCACAAACAUAAAAAAGAAAGCUAUUUCCUGGACUUUUCUUCAUUAGAAAUUAAUAGAUUGUCAAUUGGCAAUAUAAUUGUAGGGAAAAUAUAAUCAACAGAUGUCAAUCCCAAGUUAACAGAAAUGCUAAAAUUAUAAGACAAAGACUUCAAAAUAGCUAUUUUAAUUUUGCCUAGUGAGGUAAAUGCAAACAUGCUCAUUAUGAAUGAAAACAGGUAAUCUCAGCAAAGACAUGUAAGCUAUAAAAAUAAGCGAAUAUAAAUUUUAGAAUUAAAACACAAUAUCUAAAAAUAAAGUCACCUGAUAUUCUCAAUAGAAAAAAUGGUAAUGCAGAGAAAAAUGUAUGAAAAUAUGGCAAUUUGAAGAAGAGAGAAGAGAUCAAUAAAAUAAAUAAGUGUAUCCUCGGAGACCUGUGGAUGUUUUUUGAAAAGCGAAUUAUGUAAGUAAUUGAAGUCCCAGAAGAAAAGAAAAAAAGAGGAUGAGCAGAAAAAAUUUUUGAAAAAAUG